AUUGAACGCUGGCGGCAGGCUUAACACAUGCAAGUCGAGCGAGCGGCGGACGGGUGAGUAAUGUCUGGGAAACUGCCUGAUGGAGGGGGAUAACUACUGGAAACGGUAGCCAAUACCGCAUACCAUCAGAUGUGCCCAGAUGGGAUUGGCUAGUAGGUGGGGUAAUGGCUCACCUAGGCGACGAUCCCUAGCUGGUCGGAGUGGAUGACCAGACACACUGGAACUGAGACACGGUCAAGGCUCCUACGGGAGGCAGCAGAGGGGACUGUUGCACAAUGGGGGAAAGCCUGAUGGAGACAUGCCGCGUGUGUGAAGAAGGCAUUCGGGUUGUAAAGCACUUUAAGCGAGGAGGCGUUACUCGCAGAAGAAGCACCGGCUAACUCCGUGCCAGCAGCCGCGGUAAUAC
rnacentral:rRNA from 1 species